rnacentral:rRNA from 1 species
UACGUAGGGUGCGAGCGUUUGUCCGGAAUUAUUGGGCGUAAAGGGCUCGUAGGCGGUUUGUCACGUCGGGAGUGAAAACUCGGGGCUUAACCCCGAGCCUGCUUCCGAUACGGGCAGACUAGAGGUAUGCAGGGGAGAACGGAAUUCCUGGUGUAGCGGUGAAAUGCGCAGAUAUCAGGAGGAACACCGGUGGCGAAGGCGGUUCUCUGGGCCUUACCUGACACUGAGGAGCGAAAGCGUGGGGGAGCGAACAGG